rnacentral:lncRNA from 1 species
GAAAUUCCUUGAGAAGAAUUGUUGGUUUGUGUGUGAACAGAAGUUUUCAUUUCACUUGAGUGAAUAUCCAGGAUUGAGACUGUUGAGUCACUGGCCAUAAGAACCUUCAGGAAGAGUCGGGGGGUUGGGGGGGUGGUGUGGAUUCUCCCACCUCCCCAACAACUGUUUUAAGCCAGAGCUCUCUGGAAGACCUCACACUGCUGUCCCGGACUCCAAGUGCCCCCGAGCCUCACGACUCUAUGCUUAGGGGGCUACCUCUUCGUUGCUGUGACUCGGUGGAAGUUGGGAGCAGUUUGUCUGCUCCUUGCAUCUCUUCAGGUGGCCAAGAGGAGAACUCCUACCCCAUCAGGACUGCUCCAGGAACUAAGAAAAGGCCAUGUGAACACACAGCAAAAUGGGGGCCAUCUGCAAGACAGAAAGAGAGUUCUCACCAGAAACUAAACUCUACCAGACCUUGAUCUUGGACUUUCCAGCCUCCAGAACUGUGAUAAAAUCAAUUUCUUUUGUUUAAGACACCCUGUCUAUGGUAUUUUGUUAUGGCAGCUUGAGCUGACUAAUACAACCCCCAUCAAACAUCAACACUUUCAAAGGCAAAACAUCAUUUAUUCAAAGAAGAUGUUAUUUGACAAAAUUUUAAAAGAACACACAACAAACAGCAUAAAUUGACGUAGUGUGGAUAAACAUCAUUUGGCGUCCCUUGGCUUCUGAAAUCUAGAUACAAUUGUCUUCAAACCCUUCUUCCCGCCUUUUUGCCACGGGAAGACCACAGUCCACACGGAUGUCUGCACAUCCCUUGAAGGAGGAGGAAGACAUUUCCUCUAACCACUCUGGAUCCUUCUGGCCAGAAAACGAAUAAAAUUCACAUGAGACAGAAUAACAGAAGAAAAUUAAACAAAGCUUUAUAACAUGUAUACAUGGGAGAGACUCAGGCAAACUCAGCUACUUGCCAAAAUGGUAGAAGCUCUCACCUUGAACACCACCCUCAGGAGUGGGCCUUUGUGAUCCUGUGUGCCCCUCAGAAUCCUCUCUCUGGGUUAAGGAAUUGAGCUAAUGUAAAAAAAUUGGAUCUUCUCCCUAGGAAUAUGAAACUGGGGCUCAGAAAAUAGAGAAUACUGUCAGACACCUCAAAGGAAUUAAGACUCUGCCCUGGUUUCUAUGUCAUCCUCCACCAUGAGAUGAAAAAUGAGAGCCCAUAAGGAGUCAGAAAACAAAGCAUUGCCUUUGAAGAUAUGUAUGAGUUGCUAACAAAUGACUGACUCUGGAUCUGAACAAUGAAAGCCAGAGAAUGAAAGACAUACCCAAGCAAAUCAUGCUGAUCAGAAUUACUAAUAUAUGUGAUCUUCUUGGUAUCUGGACAUCAGCUUUUCCAAAGCACCAUUAUUGGCAAAUCUGUAAAUUUUAAAAUCUGCAAUUGUGCUGGGUAGCAAUGGCGCCCUCCAAGUUUCAGUCCCUCACAAUGUGCUGUUCACCCUGCUCCCGAAAGGAUCCCGAGGGCUGGGAGCCAAAUAUAUAUAUCUUUCUCCACUCUCCCCACAAGCAGAAGGUUGCAGAAAUCUCCUUUUGGGAACCUGACCAAUCCUCUAAAAAAGACUUACAGAUAGUGAAGUCGGGAGUUUCUUAACGAGAUGGACAAGUCAAGUCCUGCUAUAAUAAAGGCUCUGUUUUCCGGGAAGAGAAGGAAAUGGAAGGAUUGAGUGCGGAAUUCCUUUGGUACAGAGUGAAGCAUGGCCACAGGCUCGAGAGGUGAUAUGGUGCAGCAGCAAGUUCAUGGGCUUUGAAGUACAGCAGAUUCGGGUGUGAAACCCAGCUCUGGAAAUUACUAGCUGAGGACUUGGAGCUCUACCAAUGCUGCUUACUCAAAUGUGAUAGGACGGCUUAUGCUUAUCUGUGAGUUGAUUGUCAUAGGUGUGUAAUAAGAAAAGAAAUUGAGGAGUAAGGAUUUAAAAACUAUCAAGGUGCCAUUUCUGUGAGAUCACUUUUGUGAUCACUGGGUUUGUCUCACUGAAUGGGGUACAGACUCGCGCAAGCGCUGUUCAACUUGGGACGAAAGCUGCAUUCUAGUUGUGCACAGUAGGACCAGGAGACAACACGUGAUUAUUUAGUUUGACGGGAAGAAUUAAACAACAAUAAGAAGAAAGUAUGGCUAUUUAUUUUAAAAAUCGCAAAUUUUCAUCAUAUUUUAAAUGUAUAGUUUGCCAUUAUUGGAUAAAUUAAGGAAUUAAAUUUUAACUGUAAUUUGCAGAAGGUAAAGAAGAUUUACAAGAAUUGUUUUGUUAAGAAAUGACACAACUUUUCUUUCAGAAGUACUAUAUCAAAUAAUGGGAGUUAUUUCAAGGAAUGAAGAAGAAAUUUUAACUCUAAUUUACACAUGGUUAAAGAAGAUGCACUGCACCUUUUGUCAAGAAAUGGCACACCUUUUCUUUCAGUAGUGUGUUAAAUAAUGAUUGAAUUUGCUUCAGAGAAACGAAGACCAAAAGAGGUCAAGCUAGUUUUACUCAGAACUAUUAUCCCUCAUAUAUUAAAUUUAUUUUGUAGCUAUAAUAGGUGAUGAAGUGAUAAAAAAGAGUGUUAUUUGCUGAGAUGAAUUAGCUACUGAAGCAAUUAAACCAUCAAAACUUAAGUGGCGUUUACAUUCACAGCAUAAAGAAAUACAUCCAAAGCCACAAGAAUACUUUGAAAGGAAGAGUAUUGAAAUAGAAAGCUGACGGUAGCAGAUGUUCGAUAUUUCACAUAUAAACUUUACUGCUUUGCAGACUUUGUAUAAGGUAGCACUUCAGUUUCCUAAGAAUAAAAACAUCAUAUACAAUUACUGAGAAGCUAGUGAACAACUGUAUUAAAGAGUUUAUCUGGAAAUGUGUCUAUGGCAAAGCAGGUGACUCAAGUAUCACUUGCCAAUAAAACUAUAACUUGACAUAUUCAAAAAUUGGCUAAUGAGAUAGAAGACCAACUUACAGAAAAAAAUAAAGCUAGCGAAGUUUUUUUGUUUUUGGUUUUUUUCAGUGAGGAAGUUUGACCCUGAGCUAACAUCUGACACCCAUCUUCCUCUUUUACACCUAGGAAGAUUGUUGCCGAGCUAACAUCUGUGCCAAUCUUCCUCUAGUUUUUGUAUGUGGGAUGCUGCCACAGCAUGGCUUGAUGAGUGGUGUGUAGGUCUGCUCCUGAAAUCUGACCCCAGAAACCAAGGAUGCUGAAGCAGAGCUCACGAAUUUAACUAUGCCAACGGGCUGGCCCCUGCAAAGUAUUUUUUAUUACAAUUUGAUGAAUUCCAUAGCAUAACAUGGUAAUGCUUUUAAAAUUUAUGCAGUCUAAACAUUAUGUUGAUAUGAUGGAGGAAUAUUUUUCAGAUUAAUUGAUGACAAACAUGACUAGCCCUGAAUUGUGCAAAACUAUGACAGGUAGCAUUGUCAACAAAUGUGGUUUGGAAUUUAAGUUUUGUGUAGGAGUAUGUUCUGUGGGGUAGUCAUCCAGAAUAAGAAGCUUGCGACAGAAUGUAAAUUGAUACAGUACUUCUUCACAGAGAAAAUAUUGCCAAAAAAAAAAAAAUCAACUGUCAGCUAUUCAGUUGGUUUAGAUGUGAACUAUGUAAAGACUGUGUGUUAUAUUUUAAAAUAUUCUUUUAAUUAUAUGAUAAUACAGAAGAUGAUCAUAAAUGACUGAUAUUGCAUGUAGGAUUAUGAUAGCUAACUGAGAAAAAUAUUUUAUUGAGAGUGCUUGACAUAUGGAACACACUCCAAAUAUUCUUCAAGAUAAACUGGUUUUGUCACAGUUUUAAGGAAGUGAAUUGGACAGCCAGACUUGCUAAUUGCUUUGAUAUAUUUGGUAUUUUUAAUUCUUUAUUACUUCCACGCAAUGAAUAAAUUUAACAUGAUUUCAAUGACAGAUAAAAUCAAGGGCACACGAAAAAGUUAAAAGUUUAGAACAGUGUCUAUAGAUUGUUACACAACAUUCCAUAAUUAACAAUAAUUAUAAAUGAAGCAGAUGAUGAUUUUGAUGUUGGCCAUUUGCAAAAAGGUUGUCAAUGGACACCUUAACCAUUUGAUAUAUCAUUUUAAUUUUAUUUUCCAUUAAAAGGAAAUCCAUACAUAGGAAACUCGUGGAUCCAGAUUUUAUUCCUUUCAUUGAAAGAUAAUUUAAAUUUAACUAUGAGAUAAAGUUUAUAAGAUAAACUGGUGAGACUGGCUACUGGUGAGAAUUGAAGAUGAAUUUUGAAAGGACAGCAUCACUUGCAUCAUUUUGGAUGAAAGUUAAAAAUGAAUAUACUGAGCUUGCUGAAAGUGUUUUUAAAAUUUCUUCUUCCAUUUCUACUAAUAUACUUCUGCGAGAUUGGUUACUAUGAGCAUCAUUCAAACGUAACAUAGAUGUAUUUAAAUAUAUAUUAAAUAAUAUUGUAAUCAUGCAACCUAAAUUAAAUAAAUUAACAUGUGGAAAUCCAGAUACUUUAUCAGAUUAAAAACUUUAAAUAUUGGUUGCACAUCGUUCAUUCAAAAUGUAAAUAGGCAUUUAAUAUGAG